rnacentral:rRNA from 1 species
UAGUCCACGCCGUAAACGAUGGAUACUAGCUGUUCGGUUUUCGGACUGAGUGGCUAAGCGAAAGUGAUAAGUAUCCCACCUGGGGAGUACGUUCGCAAGAUUGGAACUCAAAGGAAUUGACGGGAGCUUACUACUAGUGGUGGAGCAUGUGGUUUAAUUCGAUGAUACGCGAGGAACCUUACCAGGGCUUAAAUGUAGAUUGACAGGUUUAGAGAUAGACUUUUCUUCGGAACACAAAGCAAGGUGCUGCAUGGUUGUCGUCAGCUCGUGCCGUGAGGUGUCAGGUUAAGUCCUAUAACGAGCGCAACCCCUGUUGUUAGUUGCCAGCGAGUAAUGUCGGGAACUCUAGCAAGACUGCCGGUGCAAACCGCGAGGAAGGUGGGGAUGACGUCAAAUCAUCACGGCCCUUACGUCCUGGGCCACACACGUGCUACAAUGGUAGGUACAGAGAGCAGCCACUGCGCGAGCAGGAGCGAAUCUAUAAAACCUAUCUCAGUUCGGAUC